CAUUCACAGUCUGAGUAGUGUGUGAGAAAAGACAUAGACACCACAUGGUGAUGUCUACAGUGAGUGCACAGGGAUGGAUGAAAUUGAAGGGUGUGCACGUGCCCCUGGAGGCCAGCAACAACCCGGUUCAACAUUCAUUAAUGAUCCUU
rnacentral:misc_RNA from 1 species